UAGGGAAUCUUCGGCAAUGGGGGGAACCCUGACCGAGCAACGCCGCGUGAGUGAAGAAGGUUUUCGGAUCGUAAAGCUCUGUUGUUAAGGAAGAACGAGUGUGAGAAUGGAAAGUUCAUACUGUGACGGUACUUAACCAGAAAGGGACGGCUAACUACGUGCCAGCAGCCGCGGUAAUACGUAGGUCCCGAGCGUUGUCCGGAUUUAUUGGGCGUAAAGCGAGCGCAGGCGGUUAGAUAAGUCUGAAGUUAAAGGCAGUGGCUCAACCAUUGUAGGCUUUGGAAACUGUUUAACUAGAGUGCAGGAGAGGAGAGUGGAAUUCCAUGUGUAGCGGUGAAAUGCGUAGAUAUAUGGAGGAACGCCGGUGGCGAAAGCGGCUCUCUGGUCUGUAACUGACGCUGAGGCUCGAAAGCGUGGGGAGCGAACAGG
rnacentral:rRNA from 1 species